GGUGAGAUGGCCGAGCGGUCUAAGGCGCCAGACUAAGGAUCAGGGCAGUUUCUGUCCACUAUUCUCCUCCUUCGUGAGUGGGUAUCUGGUCCUCCGGGGCGUGGGUUCGAAUCCCACUCUCAUCA
rnacentral:tRNA from 1 species